GGGGGUUUAGCUCAGUGGCAUAAGCACCUGCCUUGCAAGCAGGUGGUCGUGAGUUCAAUCCCCG
rnacentral:tRNA from 1 species